AGAGUUUGAUCCCUGGCUCAGGACGAACGCUGGCGGCGUGCUUAACACAUGCAAGUCGAACGAUGAUGCCCAGCUUGCUGGGUGGAUUAGUGGCGAACGGGUGAGUAACACGUGAGUAACCUGCCCCUGACUCUGGGAUAAGCGUUGGAAACGACGUCUAAUACUGGAUAUGAUCACUGGCCGCAUGGUCUGGUGGUGGAAAGAUUUUUUGGUUGGGGAUGGACUCGCGGCCUAUCAGCUUGUUGGUGAGGUAAUGGCUCACCAAGGCGACGACGGGUAGCCGGCCUGAGAGGGUGACCGGCCACACUGGGACUGAGACACGGCCCAGACUCCUACGGGAGGCAGCAGUGGGGAAUAUUGCACAAUGGGCGAAAGCCUGAUGCAGCAACGCCGCGUGAGGGAUGACGGCCUUCGGGUUGUAAACCUCUUUUAGUAGGGAAGAAGCGAAAGUGACGGACCUCA
rnacentral:rRNA from 1 species